UACGUAGGGUGCAAGCGUUUAAUCGGAAUUACUGGGCGUAAAGCGUGCGCAGGCGGUUUUGUAAGUCUGUCGUGAAAGCCCCGGGCUCAACCCGGGAACUGCGUCCGAUACUGGGGAGGCUUGAAUCCGGGAGAGGGAUGUGGAAUUCCAGGUGUAGCGGUGAAAUGCGUAGAUAUCUGGAGGAACACCGGUGGCGAAGGCGGCAUCCUGGACCGGCAUUGACGCUGAGGCGCGAAAGCUAGGGGAGCAAACGGG
rnacentral:rRNA from 1 species